CCGUUUGACAGAUCAAUGCGUUACGUUCCAUUCUUUUAGUAUAGAAGAAGUGUAUAAUGAAAUUAAAUAUUCAACACUAAAUUUUUAUAAAACUUAAUAUUUAGGCUCUUUAAUUUAAAUUCUAGCUAUUUCUAGUAUUUUCCUCAAUGUUUAUAUUAAAAUAACAUUGUAAUGUAUCUUGAUCGAUCAUGGGUUCGGAACGUUCUAGAAAUUUGACAUAUUCUGAGCGAAACGAAACGCGCGGGAGACGGUCCGAAUACUAUGAGUGAAGUUUCUUCUGUUUCUAAAAGUUAAAUUAAUUAAUUAAAUUUAAAUCGGAGGAGCAGUUUUGUGAGUUCUCAUAUCGAAAUUAUUCAAUAAGAGGCUGGUUGACUCAAAUAGAACUUAUUAGAAAUAGAAAUAAAAAAUAAAAAUGAAGAAACAUUUUUAUUGUUUGUUAUUGUUGGGUUUGAUUCGGACCACAAGUCACAGGUGAUGACCGGCGUUUUUUGGAGUGUCCUUUUUUUUUGCUUGGUUGUCCGUGCUCGCGAGUGGAAGUUCCGGUGUGCGUGGUGUCCUAGUGUCCCGAUUCCAAGAGGUCUGAACCGUGCCGAUUCCCAAAUAAACGGGCAGGGCACGCAUCGUCAUCCUCAGCGAAAAUAAGGGAAUUCAGAAAUAAAUCCGAAAGCCCCGUAAUUUUGCGGACCCACUGCCACGUGCUACGCUUAGACCCACACUUAAUCGAGAUUUUGGUUGGGCAGUGCUCGGUGGCGAGCUCUGCGCUGUGUCCUGCUUUAGCGGCUGUCGCCGGAUUUUUUCCUCCGUUGAAGGUGACGAUGGUGCCUGAGAGUCGUUCCCCGACCAUGACUGGCCGAUAUGUACACUACCGAGGCCGUCCACCGCGGUCCUGGGCUACCCUACUUCAUAGGAGGUGUUUGGCACCGGCUGUCCCGCAGUGCCAGACGCUUGCUGCGCCCGACGGGUGCGGAGGGGGUUGAGCCGAGUGGUGGUGACUAGCGCGCUAAUCCCGUAUUCUUAAGUAUUUUUAAUCCAUACCAACCAAACGGCCCAACGACCCAUCCCCUUUUUUUUCUUUUUAAAUUUUUUGUGUCUCACCCACAAUAAAUUGUUAUCAAUUUAAAUAAUUAUUUUUAUUUUGCUCCGGCAAAAAUUUCUUAUUUACAAUGUGUACGAGCAAAUUGAAAGCGUGCUUAUCGGUGACCGUCACGUUCGAGCCUGUGGCAGGCCUUUUUGGAGUUAAACUCUAUUGCUUAUGUCUUAGACAAACUGUCUACUCGCUACUUCUGAGCUCUUGUUGGACGU